AAUAUUGGACAAUGGGGGCAACCCUGAUCCAGCCAUGCCGCGUGUGUGAAGAAGGUCUUCGGCGUGUACAGCACUCUAAGCUGGGAGGAAGGGCUUUAGGUUAAUACCAUGAAGUUUUGACGUUACCAACAGAAUAAGCCCCGUCUAACUCUGUGCCAGCAGCCGCGGUAAUACAGAGGGUGCAAGCGUUAAUCGGAAUUACUGGGCGUAAAGCGCGCGUAGGUGGUUCAGUAAGAUGGGUGUGAAAUCCCCGGGCUUAACCUGGGAACUGCUUUCAUAACUGCUGAGCUAGAGUACGGUAGAGGGUAGUGGAAUUUCCUGUGUAGCGGUGAAAUGCGUAGAUAUAGGAAGGAACACCAGUAGCGGAGGCGACUACCAGGACUGAUACUGACACUGAGGUGCGAAAGCGUGGGGAGCAAAC
rnacentral:rRNA from 1 species